AGUGAUUCAUCGGGUCAUUUGGACAAGGACUUCAUUUCCCAAUAUGACAAGUCUUUCAACAGUUGCCCACAGUGAUAGGAGCUUGGAGGAACAUCUGUCCCGCUGGUUUCAUCUUGUGUGUAAAUGAGCUACAAUAGCAACAAUUUCUGUCAUCUUUGUCACUGAUCUGGAAUGAAAGUUACCAGAGAGCCUCUUGAGAAAUGUGGUAGAGAUAAUUGUGAACCCUGCAAAAAUUUACUAAGUGCGUGCGCUUUUGGGCCUCACAUCUGGAUUAAAAUCUUGCCUUUGCCACAUACUGACCAUGUGAACUUGGGUGAGUUACUGAACCUUUCUGGGACUCAGUUUCUUCAUCUGUUAAAAUGAG